CCAGCGAAACCACAGCCAA
rnacentral:snRNA from 1 species